UAUUGAGCUUAUCCAUUCUAAAGGAACAUCAUCUAUGUGAAAAAAAGAUGCUUUAAUAGAACUUCCAAGAUGAUCAACUGUAUGAGUCUCACUGACAAGAUGGUCAAUAGCAUGUCCAAUUUGUUCCACUUUCAUAGGACCCGGGGGAAGCCCACAAAUAUUUUUUAUUUCAUCUGAUUUACUAUAGUAUUCUCUCUCAGCUGGUGUGGAUGAAAUUUGGGUGCCAUUGACAAAUCCAUUCAUCGCUGAGCUCGAAACACCAGCAGCAUAAGAACCACGAAGCAAUCGAUUUCGACGAAUUCGUAACUCAUAAUUUUUCUUUUUCCAAAAAAGGUCAUUAGAAGAGUCUAAAAUAGUUUGAAAGGAUGGGAAUACACGUAUGAAACUUUGGAUAUCCUGAACAGAAAGAAACCUGCAGAUCAAUGGGAUAAUUUCAAGUGGCAGUCUAUAAAAUUUGCAGCUAUGUAAAUGUUGAGCACUCAUAUAACUAAGAAUUUGCUGACUGGGUGCUUGACUGAAAAGAAAGAACAAAUUGCAUUAGAAGAAUUGCUUGUUGGUUGGGUAUGUGCAAAUUUAAGAGUAGUAAAAAUACCAGAACUAGUUUAUGAAUGAGCAACGAACAUUAAAAUAAAUCCAAUCUUUUAAAAUAAAAUACAUUCCUUAACCUAUAUAAUUAUUUCUCUCCGAAGCAUGCUGUCGUUACAGAAAUACUUUAACCAUCUGCAAAUUGAAAGAAUUCCCAU